UCUCUGGUGAACUUUCAGCCCGGGUCUCGCGUGCCUCCUUCAUCCAUGUCUCCUUCACAAGUUACUGUGAUUUGUGCUACAGAUACGAAAUCUGAAGUGUUUGCAGUCCAGUAAGGUUAACACACAAGUGAACAGAGCAGACAUAUGCAAUAAGAACUCCCCUCCAAUUUUGAGGUUCCCAAGGAAUGUCUUACAUGUUCUGCAAACCUGGCCACCAGAAUACUGCCUCCAUCUCCCGCUCCUGGCUGAUACGGCUGUGGGAAUAUUUGUGGUUACUGCUGAUGCCAAAACCUAACAGCGGUGCUGCCGAGUCUCUGUCAGUGCUGAGAGGCAGCUGCUGACUCCUCCAGCCAUCUUGCUGCUUUGCUGCACACCCGUGCCCUGGCCCUGGAAAUCCUACUGGAAUUGAGAACUCAGGUGACCAAUCCCUUCUCAUCUCAGAUAUCCUGCAUUGAACCUGUGCUCACACUGAACUUGUUCUCACUAUUGGGAUACAUGUUUUUUCCUCCAGAAGUUUCCACCCUCUCCACCAAAUCUCCAAACGUUCCUCAACACAACUGAACCCUUAAACUCAAGCUGGAAACUUUGAGUAUUUAAACACUUGCAGUCAUGAAAUCCUGUAUAUAUAUAUUUAUAUAUAUAUUAUUCAAUGGACUCCCUACCUAUUAAUUUUGAAGUCAUUAACUGGAUUAAAAAUAUUCUUAGUCUUUCCUUGCCCCGACUCAUCAGUGAUUGGCUACAACAUAUAUUUAAAUCCCUCAUUAAAUAGUUCUAAAAUCUAGUCUUUGUUAGAAGAAAGUAAGAAUUCAGCACUGUCAGAAAACAAUAAAAGUAAUAAGUAGUUAUUUACA